rnacentral:rRNA from 1 species
UACGAAGGGGGCGAGCGUUGUUCGGAUUUACUGGGCGUAAAGGGCGCGCAGGCGGUUCUGUUUGUCGAGUGUGAAAGCCCCGGGCUCAACCUGGGAACUGCGCUCGAAACGGCGGAACUAGAGUUCGGGAGAGGAGAGUGGAAUUCCCAGUGUAGAGGUGAAAUUCGUAGAUAUUGGGAAGAACACCGGUGGCGAAGGCGGCUCUCUAGUACGGUACUGACGCUGAGACGCGAAAGCGUGGGGAGCGAACAGG